GACGAACGCUGGCGGCGUGCUUAACACAUGCAAGUCGAACGGAAAGGCCCUGCUUUUGUGGGGUGCUCGAGUGGCGAACGGGUGAGUAACACGUGAGUAACCUGCCCUUGACUUUGGGAUAACUUCAGGAAACUGGGGCUAAUACCGGAUAGGAGCUCCUGCUGCAUGGUGGGGGUUGGAAAGUUUCGGCGGUUGGGGAUGGACUCGCGGCUUAUCAGCUUGUUGGUGGGGUAGUGGCUUACCAAGGCUUUGACGAGUAGCCGGCCUGAGAGGGUGACCGGCCACAUUGGAACUGAGAUACGGCCCAGACUCCUACGGGAGGCAGCAGUGGGGAAUAUUGCACAAUGGGCGGAAGCCUGAUGCAGCAACGCCGCGUGCGGGAUGACGGCCUUCGGGUUGUAAACCGCUUUCGCCUGUGACGAAGCGUGAGUGACGGUAAUGGGUAAAGAAGCACCGGCUAACUACGUG
rnacentral:rRNA from 1 species